GGAGAUAACCUUGUAACAUGCAACACGGUGAUAGACAGGACAGAUAGCACACCUACCAGCCUGGCCACAACACUAGGGGCGACACCCAUGUCUGUCAAGUUCACAUGUGCUGCUACAAGCAGGUGGCUGCAACUGAUUCCACUUACCCCGACUAGUGCAGCUAUCACCACAAGGUCCAGCACGUACAAACACAGGUGCUCCAUCAUGUCUGUCACACACACCUCACCAUAGGUAACACCACAUGUGUACACCACGACAGAGGAUCGCUAAUACAUCAAGUAUAUAAUCCAGUAUACUGCAGAUCUUGCAGCUACAAUAAAUCUGUGCCUGAAUAAACUGGUGGAGUAAGAAUGAUCA